rnacentral:rRNA from 1 species
GGAUUAGAUACCCUGGUAGUCCACGCCCUAAACGAUGUGUGCUCGUUGUCGGAAACAUCACGUUUUCGGUGACUUAGCUAACGCGUUAAGCACACCGCCUGGGGACUACGGCCGCAAGGUUAAAACUCAAAGGAAUUGACGGGGACCCGCACAAGUGGUGGAGCAUGUCGUUUAAUUCGAAGAUACGCGAACAACCUUACCUAGCCUUGACAUCUGCGUCGUACUUUCCAGAAAUGGAUCGGUCAUUUAGUUGGACGCAAGACAGGUGUUGCAUGGCCGUCGUCAGCUCGUGCUG